UACGAAGGGGGCUAGCGUUGCUCGGAAUUACUGGGCGUAAAGCGCACGUAGGCGGCUUUGUAAGUUAGAGGUGAAAGCCCAGGGCUUAACCCUGGAAUUGCCUUUAAGACUGCAUCGCUCGAAUUGUGGAGAGGUGAGUGGAAUUCCGAGUGUAGAGGUGAAAUUCGUAGAUAUCGGGAGGAACACCAGUGGCGAAGGCGGCGACCUGGGCCAAUAUUGACGCUGAGGUGCGAAAGCGUGGGGAGCAAACAGG
rnacentral:rRNA from 1 species